UACGAAAGGGGGCGAGCGUUAUUCGGAAUCACUGGGCGUAAAGCGUGCGUAGGCUGUCUCACAAGUUGGAAGUGAAAGCCCAGGGCUCAACCCUGGAAUUGCUUUCAAAACUGUGAGACUAGAAUCCGGGAGAGGAUAGCGGAAUUUCCAGUGUAGUAGUGAAAUACGUAGAUAUUGGAAGGAACACCAGUGGCGUAAGCGGCUAUCUGGACCGGCAUUGACGCUGAGGCACGAAAGCGUGGGGAGCGAACAGG
rnacentral:rRNA from 1 species